rnacentral:rRNA from 1 species
AACGAACGCUGGCGGCAUGCCUAACACAUGCAAGUCGAACGAAGGCUUCGGCCUUAGUGGCGCACGGGUGCGUAACGCGUGGGAAUCUGCCCUUUGGUUCGGAAUAACAGCUGGAAACGGCUGCUAAUACCGGAUGAUGACGAAAGUCCAAAGAUUUAUCGCCAGAGGAUGAGCCCGCGUUGGAUUAGGUAGUUGGUGGGGUAAAGGCCUACCAAGCCGACGAUCCAUAGCUGGUCUGAGAGGAUGAUCAGCCACACUGGGACUGAGACACGGCCCAGACUCCUACGGGAGGCAGCAGUGGGGAAUAUUGGACAAUGGGCGCAAGCCUGAUCCAGCAAUGCCGCGUGAGUGAUGGAGGCCCUAGGGUUGUAAAGCUCUUUUACCCGGGAAGAUAAUGACUGUACCGGGAGAAUAAGCCCCGGCUAACUCCGUG